CAGCUGGAUGGCAAAAACAGUGCUAGAAAAACCUCUAAAGUGACACACAAGAGAUACUCAGCAGAAACAUAGUGUUCUUAUAUCGGAUUAUCCUCCUUGGUAGUAGCUGACAUGGCUUAAUACCAAUAUCAGGAUCAGAAUCUGCUUUAUUGGCCAGGACUCAUCUUGGAAACCAAAUGUUUCAUCUUACUUGCUGAUUGUUGCAGCAACAUCUCUAAAAGCACCCCAGCGUAGACCCAUCAGAGCGAAGACUGGCUGCUCCGUCUCGCCCUGGAGAACAUGGACAAACACACAUUUGUGCUGUCAGAAGAAAUCUUCCUCGCACAAAUAAAGUUAUCAUCCUUCAUAAUAAUGUAAUCUUAUCACUUCAUUUGAAUAAGACACAUAUGUUCAACAA